rnacentral:snoRNA from 1 species
GUGAAAUGAUGAUUCAGUUUAUCCAUUCGCUGAGUGUGCUGCACUGACCUUCUUCCAAGCCUGGGUUCCUGUUCUAGGAACUUUGGGUUACGUGGUUGCCAAAUGCCCUGCAGUCUGCUGUGUUCUACUGUGGACGGCUUGUGUGUUGGUGGACUACCGGUAAGAAUGGCUGGUGUCAGCAGGGAUGGGUCCCUGUGGGCUCAUCUCACCAAGAUGAGUGGUGGAAAUCUGAUCAC